rnacentral:rRNA from 1 species
UGCCAGCAGCCGCGGUAAGACAGAGGGUGCAAGCGUUAAUCGGAAUUACUGGGCGUAAAGCGCGCGUAGGUGGACAAAUAAGUCAGUUGUGAAAUUUUUAGGCUCAACCUGAAAACGCCAAUUGAUACUGUUUGUCUAGAGUGCAGUAGAGGGGGAAGGAAUUUCCGGUGUAGCGGUGAAAUGCGUAGAUAUCGGAAGGAACACCAGUGGCGAAGGCGUUCCCCUGGACUGUAACUGACACUGAGGUGCGAAAGCGUGGGUAGCGAACAGGAUUAGAUA